GGUCUGGGACAACCACUGGAAACGGUGGCUAAUACCGGAUGUGCCGAAAGGUGAAAGGUUAACUGCCUGGAGAUGAGCUCGCGUCUGAUUAGCUAGUAGGUGUGGUAAAGGCGCACCUAGGCGACGAUCAGUAGCUGGUCUGAGAGGACGAUCAGCCACACUGGGACUGAGACACGGCCCAGACUCCUACGGGAGGCAGCAGUGGGGAAUUUUCCGCAAUGGGCGAAAGCCUGACGGAGCAAUACCGCGUGAGGGAGGAAGGCUCUUGGGUCGUAAACCUCUUUUCUCAGGGAAGAACACAAUGACGGUACCUGAGGAAUAAGCAUCGGCUAACUCCGUGCCAGCAGCCGCGGUAAUACGGAGGAUGCAAGCGUUAUCCGGAAUGAUUGGGCGUAAAGCGUCCGCAGGUGGCUGUGUAAGUCUGCUGUUAAAGAGUCUAGCUCAACUAGAUACAAGCAGUGGAAACUACACGGCUAGAGUACGUUCGGGGCAGAGGGAAUUCCUGGUGUAGCGGUGAAAUGCGUAGAGAUCAGGAAGAACACCGGUGGCGAAGGCGCUCUGCUAGGCCGUAACUGACACUGAGGGACGAAAGCUAGGGG
rnacentral:rRNA from 1 species